UUAGCCUUAGUGACAUUUUUGCUUAAUAUCUGCUCGCUUAUUCUUUUUAAUAGAACUCAUGAAAAGUACACAGAACUGGUUUAUUCUUUCCAAUUGAAACAUGGGUCCAGGACUACGUGGAAUAAGGUGAGAACUGGAUGAAGGGACACUGAAGAGGUGAGCUGGGAGAAGCCAGCUUGGGUAGUGACCAGUUACAGCUGGACUUGAGGGGUUGAAUUUUGAAGUUACCUGGCCAUCGAAGACCCAGACACCAUGACCAACAGUAGGGAGACUAAGGGGAAGGCUCCAGCCACAAGAGGGUUUUGGCUGGUCCCUCCGGAAAGGAAUUUGAUGUUGAAGAAUUUUUUCCCUCCACCUCCAGUAAUUUCCACAGCAAGACAGAUGACCCUGGGAGAGGACUGGUCUUGUGGUUAAGGAACCGGCCUAGGACUAAACCUGGGACCAAUUCCUGGCUUGGGCACAGCCUUCCUGUGUGAUCUCGGCCAAGUUGCUUCAUGCCUCUGUGCCUCGAUGCCCCCAUCUGUAAAUGGAGAUAACACGUCCUGAUCUCGGAGGAGUAUGUGAGGGUAGAUGCCCUUAAUAUUCAUGUGGCGCUCAGCUACCGCAGUCAGAAGAGGCCGUUGGCACCAGCAAUUUUAUUAAUAUUUUAUUUAUGGGACUGUAAUUAAUGUAAUUGAUCCAUAUUCAUUAAUGGACUGAUGAG